CAGCCGCCACGGGAAUACGGAGGGUGCAAGCGUUAAUCGGAAUUACUGGGCGUAAAGCGCACGCAGGCGGUCUGACAAGUCAGAUGUGAAAUCCCCGGGCUCAACCUGGGAACUGCAUUUGAGACUGUAUGGCUAGAGUAUGUCAGAGGGGGGUAGAAUUCCACGUGUAGCAGUGAAAUGCGUAGAUAUGUGGAGGAAUACCGAUGGCGAAGGCAGCCCCCUGGGAUAACACUGACGCUCAUGCACGAAAGCGUGGGGAGCAAACAGGAUUAGAUACCCCGGUAGUCCCUGUCUCUUAUAC
rnacentral:rRNA from 1 species